GGCUCAAGUAAGUUUUCAAGUAUAACAUUUUAAAGGCACCUGUGUAAGAGCUGAAGUAGAUAAAACGUAAAAGCCAACAGUUUUGCAUUUGUUAAAGCAGAUUUUUUAAGGAACUCCAUGUGUCUUCUAGUGCACUAAAAAUACAUUCUCACCUUUGUUGUUUCUUGGGUAAUGUUGGGAAAGAAAGGACCCAAUUAUUCCCUGAUAGUAUAAUUUUACUUGUUUUACAGGACAGAAAGUUAUCUAAGCUCAAUAGUUCUGAGAAAUGUCUUCAUCUAGGAGCAUUCCCUCUGUUUCUUAGAAGUUUGAAUUUGGGAGAAAGGUUGACAAUCUGGGGAAAAAAAAAAAAGACGAAGCGAAAGGAACAGCAUGCUCAGGAGGGCACACACCACGCCAGUUCCCUUGCUUCUAAUGGUUAUCACGUACCAACCCAAGUGGCUGCCGCCUUAUUAAUCAUCAUAUUCAUGAAAAGCUCUACUACUAUGAGAAGUAGAACCCUGUGCCCAUCCUCCACAGCACAGCAGUCUUGGCUGAUGAUGUAAGUGUGCCUUUCGGAGCUCCCUGCCACCCGGCUCCCUUGGGCCCGGUCCUGAGCAGAGCUCUUCCUGGCGCAGACACAAGUGUGAGAUCCUGGGAGUGAAAACCAGAAGCCGCUGCAAAUGUUUCCAAAAGUCCUGUCACCGAGGACCUUAUGCGGAUACUGUGCUGAUUUGCAUUCACUCUCCUGCUCAAAAAAUUGUGCGUGGGGAUGUCCUCUGUUCUACCUGGGUGGCUACAGUAGCAGAAGUCUGAGGCUAGAACUCUCUGGGCAGAGAGAAACUGUCAGCUACUAGUGUUCUGAGAAAGGCACAGGCAGGAGGAAUGCUUUGGAGAAAUAAAGACAAAUCAGCUAGGUCUGUUGCUGACAGUGCUAAAAACUGACAGAUACGCUAGUGUCGGAACGAGGCCUGAUGAAAUACAUAAAAAGACAGGAUUGUUUUCAAAAUGAAGUAUAAAGCAUCAUAAUGAUUUAUGGAUAUUAGACCUUUCCACAUUACCUUCAUAACCAAAGAAUAAGUGACAGAAGCAGUUAGCAUUGAUGGAGUAAUUUCCUGUAGCUAUCAUUUUAUUUUCAAUCUUGGAAUGAAUUACCUUGCUGUUCCUUGCCGUUCACUUUCAAACUCAGAUGAAUUGAAAGCACACCUGGAUAAACUGUAAAGGACACUGAGGCAGAGGAGAAAUAGGUCUCCUGUGAAGGUUGGUUUUUGUGAUCUCCUUGAGCUUAUCUGUUGCUUUCUAAAUGUUUUCCUUGUUUAUGAUUUAAAAAGGAAUGUAGUUCAGCUUAAAUAUCGGGGCCAUAUAAUUUUUAAAAAAUCAUCUUCAGAAGUUGAUUUUCUUAUAUGUGUUUUCUAUUUUAUUUUAUUUGUAAAAGAUUUUACUUAUUGAUUUGUGAGAGACACAGAGACACAGGCAGAGGGAGAAGCAGGCUCCCCAUAAAAAGCCCAAUGUGGGGCUGGAUCCUGGGCCAGAAUCAUGCCCUGAGCCAAAGUUAGACACUCAGCUUCUCAAUCACCCAGGUGUCCCUGUGUUUCCUAUUUUAAUUUAGAUAAUAAGGCAUAUGUCAUCAAUCUCGAAGUGAUUUGCUAUUUGGUUAGUCCCCCAGACUCCUUUCAGGUUUUAUCCACAGAUUAGAAAUUAUAGGGAUCUUUCACUUUAUGUGUUUUAUGCGGAUGCUUAUUCAUCUGCUCCUCUUGGUUCUUCAUUAGAGAACCAAACUUUUUGAAGUGAAGUUGAGUAAAGGUAUAGACAGAAUUCUAGUAAGGGGCAGUUGCCACUUGAGGAAGUCUUAAGAAAUCAC
rnacentral:lncRNA from 1 species